rnacentral:rRNA from 2 species
GGGUUGUGAGGUUAAGCGACUAAGCGUACACGGUGGAUGCCCUGGCAGUCAGAGGCGAUGAAGGGCGUGCUAAUCUGCGAUAAGCGCCGGUAAGGUGAUAUGAACCGUUAUAACCGGCGAUACCCGAAUGGGGAAACCCAGUGUGAUUCGUCACACUAUCAUUAACUGAAUCCAUAGGUUAAUGAGGCGAACCGGGGGAACUGAAACAUCUAAGUACCCCGAGGAAAAGAAAUCAACCGAGAUUCCCCCAGUAGCGGCGAGCGAACGGGGAGGAGCCCAGAGCCUGAAUCAGCAUGUGUGUUAGUGGAAGCGUCUGGAAAGGCGCGCGAUACAGGGUGACAGCCCCGUACACAAAAGCGCAUGUGCUGUGAGCUCGAUGAGUAGGGCGGGACACGUGGUAUCCUGUCUGAAUAUGGGGGGACCAUCCUCCAAGGCUAAAUACUCCUGACUGACCGAUAGUGAACCAGUACCGUGAGGGAAAGGCGAAAAGAACCCCGGCGAGGGGAGUGAAAAAGAACCUGAAACCGUGUACGUACAAGCAGUGGGAGCCCCACCACUAAGCCAGUGGUGAACUCCACAUACGCAUCCUUUGCUGAGGAUACGGUUAACGGAGCGAAAGCGACGUUCAACCUCAAAAGAAGCAGAGGGGGCUUAGUGGUGGGGUGACUGCGUACCUUUUGUAUAAUGGGUCAGCGACUUAUAUUCUGUAGCAAGGUUAACCGUAUAGGGGAGCCG